rnacentral:lncRNA from 1 species
CAAAGAGCAGUCUGCAAGAGGAAGGUAUUUCACUUCCUUCCACAGUUUUUCUGGAGAUGUAAAGGUUAAAAGGGGUGGGGCAGGGGCUCCCUUCUGUGACAGUCCCAGCCUCACCUAGAGCAGUUCCGUAGGCAUUUUUUGGGGAUGAUCUUCAAUAAUCAGCCACUUCCUAAUUGCCAAGCCCAUUAAUAUGAAUCAGAUAUUUGUGGAACUUUCAAGUACUGCAUGGGAAAUGUUGUCUGGGGAUAAAAACACUGUUGGGAGAGUCAAGGGCUUUGCCUGUGGCUGUCUGGAUUUACUGGGUGACUAAGGUUCCUCAGGAACUAUAUUUGCCAUUCAUUGCCUGCUUACCCUUCUCUAGACCCC